GGAAGUUGUCAGAUGAUGGCAAAGCUGGCAAUCUCACCAUCUUACUUUUUCUUCAGGGGAAGCUGCAAUUACUUCUAGUGAAAGUGAUCUACUCAAAGACCAAUUCGAUCUGGCAUCUUUUCCAUGUGGUGUAACAUCGAUGGACGCCUUUUUAAUAAACUUCUUCCUAGUCGUCUAUUGAAAGACCCAAGAUCCUGGUUUGGACAGCAAUUACUGCAAAUACGACAACCAUGACCUUCAGCUAUUCACAUCAUCGUUGUAUCUAGUUGGCUUGACUUCGACCUUCUUCACAUCCUACACCACAAGAAACCUCGGUCGGAGGCUGACCAUGCUCAUUGCAGGGAUUUUCUUCAUCAUUGGCAUGGUGCUAAAUGUAGCUGCCCAGAACCUUGCCAUGCUCAUUAUGGGAAGGAUCUUCCUGGGGUGUGGAGUUGGCUUCGCUAAUCAGUGUCAUUACUAAGAUCAAGAUUCACAGAUUUUUGGUGCAACAUAAUAUCUAUGAGUCUGAUAAUUCAUUGUUGAAUACAUGCUGAUAUUUCAAUGGCAGUUUCAAGUUAUUUUUUAAAAAUCUUUUUCUUUUCUUUUGUUUUUGUUGAUUGGUUGGUAAGCAAGGUUCAAAUCUGAGACCUCAAUGUUGAAAUGCACCCUAUCUACCAUUGAUCUACUGGCUCAAAUUCUUGCA